rnacentral:rRNA from 1 species
GAUGAACGCUGGCGGCGUGCCUAAUACAUGCAAGUCGAGCGAACAGACGAGGAGCUUGCUCCUUUGACGUUAGCGGCGGACGGGUGAGUAACACGUAGGUAACCUACCUAUAAGACUGGGAUAACUUCGGGAAACCGGAGCUAAUACCGGAUAAUAUUUCGAACCGCAUGGUUCGAUAGUGAAAGAUGGCUUUGCUAUCACUUAUAGAUGGACCUGCGCCGUAUUAGCUAGUUGGUAAGGUCACGGCUUACCAAGGCAACGAUACGUAGCCGACCUGAGAGGGUGGUCGGCCACACUGGAACUGAGACACGGUCCAGACUCCUACGGGAGGCAGCAGUAGGGAAUCUUCCGCAAGGGGCGAAAGCCUGACGGAGCAACGCCGCGUGAGUGAUGAAGGUCUUCGGAUCGUAAAACUCUGUUAUUAGGGAAGAACAAACGUGUAAGUAACUGUGCGCGUCUUGACGGUACCUAAUCAGAAAGCCACGGCUAACUACGUG